rnacentral:lncRNA from 1 species
AUUCUUGACACACAGAAGCUGUAAGAAAAUAUGUAUUUGUAACUUCAAGCUGUCAAGUUUGUAGUGAUUUGUUAUGCAGCAAUGGAUGACCAGUAUAAUGGAUCAACUCACUUAAAUUUGGGAACUUCAGUUCCUGAUCAUGGUGGAUAA